GCUUGCUUUGGCACGCAUAUACUAAAAUUGGAACAAUACAGAGAUUAGCAUGGUCCCUGCACAAGGGUGACACGCAAAUUCUUGAAACAUUCAAUAUUUUU
rnacentral:snRNA from 1 species